rnacentral:rRNA from 1 species
GAAUAUUGGGCAAUGGGGGCAACCCUGAUCCAGCCAUGCCGCGUGUGUGAAGAAGGCCUUUUGGUUGUAACGCACUUUAAGCAGUGAAGAAGUCUCCAUGGUUAAUACCCAUGGACGAUGACAUUAUCUGGAGAAUAAGCACCGGCUAACUCUGUGCCAGCCGCCGCGGUAAUACAGAGGGUGCAAGGGUUAAUCGGAAGUACUGGGCGUAAAGCGAGCGUAGGUGGCGUGAUAAGUCAGAUGUGAAAUCCCCGGGCUGAACCUGGGAACUGCAUCUGAUACUGUUAGGCGAGAAGAGGUGAGAGGAAGGUAGAGAUCCAGGUGUAGCGGUGAAAGGCGUAGAGAUUUGGAGGAAUACCGAUGCCGAAGGCAGCCUUCUGGCAUCAUAUUGACACGGAGGUUCGAAAGCGUGGGUAGCAAAC